rnacentral:tRNA from 1 species
GGUGUAGCUUAGUCGGUUAAAGCGUCGGAUUGUGGUCCCGAAGAUCGUGGGUUCGAAUCCCAUCUC